ACCUCACGACCUGUGUCAGCAGAGCUGCCCUGCACCGCCAUGUGCAUCAUCUUCUUUAAGUUUGAUCCUCGCCCUGUUUCCAAAAACACGUACAGGCUCAUCUUGGCAGCCAACAGGGACGAAUUCUAUAGCCGACCCUCCAAGUUAGCUGACUUCUGGGGGAACAACAACGAGAUCCUCAGUGGGCUGGACAUGGAGGAAGGCAAGGAAGGAGGCACAUGGCUGGGCAUCAGCACACGUGGCAAGCUGGCAGCGCUCACCAACUACCUGCAGCCGCAGCUGGACUGGCAGGCCCGAGGGCGAGGUGAACUUGUCACCCACUUUCUGACCACUGACGUGGACAGCUUGUCCUACCUGAAGAAGGUCUCUAUGGAGGGCCAUCUGUACAAUGGCUUCAACCUCAUAGCAGCCGACCUGAGGUGGGUCUGCCAGAGGGGGAUGGCGGCUCUGCCCAGCACUGCCUUGGGGGCAGGCCUCAGGCUCAUCAGGAAGCGGGGUUCCACUGGGGGCCAUGGCAGCCUCUCCAGGGACAUUGCUCCUCAUGACUUGGCAAACAUUCUGAGAACUGAGCCUGUCAGAGAUGUACCAACUCGGGUAUUUGGGGGUGAAGCCCAAGGCUUCCUGUGAUGGCAUGAAGGCUGCUGGCUCCCUGGAGAAAGCUGAGGCUGUGAAGAACAGUCGCAUAGAGUGGCCCUGGCUGGGUGUCCUCCCUCCCACGGGCAGACUGUGCAGAGCAGCCCUCCGCAGCCCUGGCUUAGAGUGACUGGGAUGCUGUGCUCCCAGGGAAACUCCUGUUGGAGAUGAGGCCGCACGAACUGCAGAGGUUUUGCGUGUUUUGCCCUUCCGUGAAGUGAGCAUUCCUCCCUCCUGCCCUCCUCCCCCUCCAACACCCCAGAACUUGGCCAAUGCUGUUAGUCCGGGGCCUUCUGCCAGGACAGGCAAACGGGAAGUGGUCAGCACACUGUAGCGGGCCCUGAAGCUGCCUCCUUCCACAAGGGCAGGUCCAUGGGCCUCUCUCCUGGCUCCCGAGCUCCAGGCCUGCUGUUCGUUGAGCAUCCGUUGUGUGUGGCAUGCCCAGCCCUGCCCCGCAUGGGUCUGCGCACUUGCUAUGGAGGCUGAGAGAGUUGCGGUGUCCCCUAGGUGGAAGGCCGAGGGCUGGCACGGGGCACUUGCUGUCCGGAGCUGUUCUUCCUGCCCAUGCCUUCGUGACUCCAGGUGGCAGAGCCCCUGUGCACUCUGCAUGCCCCCAUGCUCAGGAACCACUUUCCCCGGUCAGUAGCUCCAUGUGGGUCUGAUUAGUCUCAGGAGAGUUCAUCUGUGGCCGUGGCACCAGCAGGACUCGGCACUCAGCAGCUGUGUGGAGGUGGGGUGCCAGGGGUGCCAUGCCCUGAGCAGAUGCACGGGCUCCUGUGGUUGGGGGGUGGAGGUUUGGGCUCCUCAGGGCCUGUGCAACUCUCCCGGCUCCAAAGGCUGCAGAGUGAGGGUCAGCCUACUGGUCCUAGCCUGAGGAUACAGGCAGUGGCCAGGAGAGCAUACCACAGGUCAGGCAAAAGCUGGUGCCAGGGCUGAGGCUGGAGGGUGGGAGCCAUCGGAGGCCAGUGAGCAGCCCUGCUGGUAGGUGCAGAUGAGGAAGCUAAGGCCUGGAAGGGAGAGAGGCUUGUCAUGGCCACAGCUAUCCCUGGGUGAGUCCUGCCCUCCGCCUGGCCUGUGGUAUAGUACUGGCAGCAUGGGUGUCCAGAUAUAUAGGUCCUUACACAGAAAGCCCAGAGAAGCUUUUUGCCUGCAAACAGUCUCUGAAAUUAUGAACCAGGUAUCUUAGGAAAGUUGCCAAAGACCAUGGUGAGGAAGAACGGGAAUGGAAUGUGAACGUAGACAGGGGGCCCUUGAAGCCUACCAGGGGUGGGGAAGGUGGGUCCCACCUGGGGGCAGCACUUCGGGGAGGAAGGCACCACGCCUGGCUCUUUCUCUGCAUCUGUUCAUCUUCAAGGCCCAGGGCUCCAUGCCCAGCAUCUAUCCUGGGAGGGCAUCUCACAGGCCACAAAGAGAGCCUCUUCACUUCGCAAAAAAGGCACUCCAAGUUCUGGAAGACUACUGUGGUAUUGAGGAUUGGAAUAUUUUCAGCUGGGGAGCAUUUAGAACUAUUUUCUUUUUUAAAAAUAAUUUAUUUAUUUUGUAGAGAUGGGGUCUUGCUAUGUUGCCCAGUCUGGUUUUCAAACUCCUGGCCUCAAGCAGUCCUCCCUCCUUAGUCUCCAGAUUAGCUGGGACUAUAGGUGUGAGCCACUAUGCCCAGCUCUGCUGUCCCUUAACUAUUUUAAAGUGUACACUUAACACUUGAGAGUAGGAAAAUGUGGUCUUUGGUGCUUUCUUUGGAAGCCUCGAUCACCCUGGGGCCACCUGUCCAGAAACGCUCAUAGAUGAGCUGUGGUGGGGGGCCUGAUGGAGAGGAUGGUGAUAUGGGGAUGGGGCUCAGCCCUGCAGUUGUCCACAUGGGCAGCCUCUGUGUGUCCAUGCCAUGGGGCAUUCGGCAUGGCAUGAGGGCCUUUUAGAUGCUGUGCCUCCUGGGCUGGUGGGCCCCAAGGUGAGCUGGGAACAUACCUGUGAUGCUGGACAAGAGCUGGGGCCUCCAUGACCCCGCCUGCCAGGCACCCGAGGGGCUGGAUCCUGCAAGCUCCUGACCUGGCCGCAGUGGGCUACUGUGCACAUUGCUAGCCUCCAGAAACAGGGCUGUGAGAUCACUGGGCAGUGUCAGGGGGAGGACACCCUAUGGCUGUAGUCUGACAUUCUCUCCCCUUGGCCUGCAGCACAGCAAAGGGAGACGUCAUUUGCUACUAUGGGAACCGAGGGGAGCCUGAUCCCAUCGUUUUGACGCCAGGUGAGCCUGCCCUGGCAGCCUGAUGGGGUGGGGGACUGUUUCUAUGCAGAGGUCACCCCUGUGCUUUUUAGAGACCAGGCCCUUGUCAUAUUACUCUCCUGGGACGACUUUGUGGCCAUUUAAGUGCCUUAUGGUCUGUAGGGACCUUGCCCUGCACCUGGACACUUCAGAGAGCCCUGGCUCCCUGCUCACCCCCUCCCCAUGGGCCUUUCCUGCUGAGCAAGGUGC
rnacentral:sRNA from 1 species